AACGAACGCUGGCGGCGUGGAUAAGACAUGCAAGUCGAACGAAGCAAUGGAUUUCGGUUUAUUGUUUAGUGGCGAACGGGUGAGUAACACGUGAGUAACCUGCCUCUAAGUUAGGGAUAGCCCCGGGAAACUGGGAUUAAUACCUGAUAGACUCGAAAGAGUAAAGGAGAAAUCCGCUUAGAGAGGGGCUCGCGUCCUAUUAGUUAGUUGGUGAGGUAAUGGCUCACCAAGGCGAUGACGGGUAGCCGGUCUGAGAGGAUGUCCGGCCACACUGGAACUGAGACACGGUCCAGACACCUACGGGUGGCAGCAGUCGAGAAUCAUUCACAAUGGACGAAAGUCUGAUGGUGCGACGCCGCGUGGGGGAGGAAGGUCUUCGGAUUGUAAACCCCUGUCAUGUGGGAGCAAGAUAGAAAUAUUUGAUAGUACCACAAGAGGAAGAGACGGCUAACUCUGUGCCAGCAGCCGCGGUAAUACAGAGGUCUCAAGCGUUGUUCGGAAUCACUGGGCGUAAAGGGUACGUAGGCGGCGCCAUAAGUCGUGCGUGAAAGGCAAGGGCUCAACCCUUGGAGUGCGCAUGAUACUGUGGUGCUAGAGCGAUGGAGAGGGAACUGGAAUUCUUGGUGUAGCAGUGAAAUGCGUA
rnacentral:rRNA from 1 species